GCGUAAAGGGUGCGUAGGCGGCCUGUUAAGUAAGUGGUUAAAUUGUUGGGCUCAACCCAAUCCAGCCACUUAAACUGGCAGGCUAGAGUAUUGGAGAGGCAAGUGGAAUUCCAUGUGUAGCGGUAAAAUGCGUAGAUAUAUGGAGGAACACCAGUGGCGAAGGCGGCUUGCUAGCCAAAGACUGACGCUCAUGCACGAAAGCGUGGGGAGCAAAUAGGAUUAGAUACCCUGGUAGUCCACGCCGUAAACGAUGAGUGCUAAGUGUUGGAGGGUUUCCGCCCUUCAGUGCUGCAGUUAACGCAUUAAGCACUCCGCCUGGGGAGUACGACCGCAAGGUUGAAACUCAAAGGAAUUGACGGGGGCCCGCACAAGCGGUGGAGUAUGUGGUUUAAUUCGACGCAACGCGAAGAACCUUACCAGGUCU
rnacentral:rRNA from 1 species